UUCUGGCUCCAGACUGCUGGGUCUGCACCGACGUGACGGCCAAGAAGGUCCGAGAAGAGGCCUUGUUCCCCCAGGACAAAAGCGGGUCUGAGGCUCGGCGACGCCGCCCUGAUGCCCCGCGCCAGGCCUGGGAGAGGGACUGCCGAUCCGGGUCCCGCUCUGCCCACAGACCCCAGUGGCAGCGGUGGUGCUGAGGGACCCGCCUCAGCAGGGCAAUGUGACCUUGGAGGAUGUGGCCAUGUACUUCUCUUUGGAGGAAUGGAAUCUCCUUGAUGAGCCUCACAGAUGCCUGCACCAAGAUGUGAUCCUGGAGAAUUUGGCACUUGUAACCUCCCUGGGUUGUUGGUGUGGAGUGGAGGAUAAGGAGGCAUCUUCCGAGCACAGCAUUUCUGCCAAAGUAAUGCCACAGGAUAGGACUGUCAAAGCAGGUCUGUCUCCCCAGAAGGCCCACCUCUGUGAGAUGUGUGGACCCGUGUUGAGAGACAGUUUGCACUUGGUUGAACACCAGGAAACACAUCACAGGCAGAAACUGCACAUGUGUGGGGCAUGUGGAAAACAAUUUCCUCUCACUGCAGACCUUUAUCAGCUGCACAAGCAGCAUGUUAGAGAGAAAUGCUUCAAAAGCAGCAUGAACAGAGCCUUAUUCUUGAAGAGCUGCUAAUUCCAUGUGUUAGGGAAGUCCUUUACCUGUAAGGAGGUUGGGAAGGACUUUCUGGCCAGCUUGGGACAUCUUCAGCAACAGGCCACUCACAUCAGGGAGAAGUCAAACAGCGGACCGGAGUGUGUGGUGGCCUUCCACAGUGUAAACAGCCAUUACAACUGGCUAGAGUGCAUGAAAGCUUGCAGCCCCAAACACACCCUUGUUCAGCACCAGAGUCCUCAAGAGGGAAAGAUCUUACAGGUGCCGUGAGUGUGGGAAAUCCUUUAGAAAAAACUGUAGCCUCAGGGAGCAUUAGAGAGUUCACACUAGAGAAAAGCCUUAUGAGUGUGGGGAAGGUGGAAAAUUAUUUAGCAAGAAGUACAACCUUAUCAUGCAUCAAAAAGUUCACCCUGGUGAAAAGCCAUAUGAGUGCAGUGAACGUGGGGAAUCUUAGCCAGAGCUCUCGCCUCAUUAGACACCAGAGAAUUAACGCUGGAGAAAGGCCUUAUGAGUGCAGUGAAUGGAAAGUCCUUUACCUUCAACCCCAUUCUCCUAAAAUACCAGAAUGUUCACAAGGAAUAAAGGCCUUUACAUAAUAUAGGUAAGUCUGUUAUGGACUGAAUUGUGUCCCUCAAGAUUCAUAUGUUCAAGCCCUAACAGCCAAUGUAACUAUGUUUUUAGGUAUGUCCUAUAAGAAGAUAACUAAGGACAAAUGAGGUCAUAAGAACGGGGUCCUAAUCCAUUGUGACUUGUGUCUGUGGAAGAAGACAAGGCACCGGAAGGUGCUCACUUUCUCGCUGUGUUCACGAACAGAGGAAAGGCCAUUUAAUGACACACCAAGAAGGUGGUUGAUUAGAAGUCAGAAAGAAAGGCCUCACCAGAAACCAUUCCUGAUGGCACCUUGGUCUUAGACUCCCAGCCUCUAGAAAUAGGAGAAUAUACAUUUCUUUAAGCCACCCAGUCUGUGGUAUUUUAUUGUGGCAGCCUGAAAAGAGACAAAGGUGCAAAGAAGGUACCUCAUUGUAUUCUGUUUUUGCCGUACUGGUAACAGUAGACGCAAAUAACCUUGAGAAUGUAUAGAAUAGUAAAGCAUAGUGAAAUAAUUAGGAAGUUACAAAUUUUAAGAGUUACCUUUGCUUUUUAAACAGCUUUACUGAAGUACAAUCAGUUGUCAUUCACGCUAGUCAUGUUCUCUAAUUCAGUGAAUCAGUGAAUAUAGAGCCAUUGUUCCUAGGGGAAAUCUGGAAUUAGGUUCCUGAGAGCCUCUGGUCACAACGUUUUUGUCAACUGGUCAGUACAUAACAUGGUUUUCCAUGUGUUUCUGUUUAAAGACAACUCAUUUACUGUAUACUGUUGAUUCGUUAACACUGAAAUCAUGGCCAACAGCACGAUGAUUCAUGCCUGAACAAUGCUUACCUAAUAUGUAUUUUCUUUAAGGCCCAUUUUUUGGGCUUAGGCACUUUAGGCGGCACAUAAGCGCCAGGUUUGGAGGCCAUUUUGGACCACAAAACCACCAAGAAGAAGCAUAAAUGGGGCACUAAAUACAUCAUGGGAAGAAUGCUUGUUUACAGUAUGAGAGCCGCAAAGAGAAGGCAGAGCAUCAUCUUAUGUAUCUCACGUACACUGGGUGACUCGGAUUUUUUGUGUCUCCACAUGUCUGUGAAUAAGUGUAAAAAUGUAAGUAUUGAUUUGGGGGGUUUCCAGUUUUGGCAGGUAGGCAAAUUUACAAAUACAGAAUCCAUGAAAAAUGAGGAUUGACUAAUUGUCUUGCCAUAAAUUGUGCAUACUUAAAGAUAUACUCAGGCUGAAACUUGUGCUUUUUCACCAUUUUAUGGACUCACCAAGAUUUUGUGAGGACUUUGGUGGAGUCUAGGAUGUUUCAUUCAGCCAGGUGCAUAUGAUCAGGGGCAAAUUCAGUCAUCUGUGAGUCACCAGACCUGGGGUGGUUUAUCAGUGGGGCUGGGCUUUGAAUGAUGGUUGGAUGGACAGAGGAAGGGUGUGAUUUCUGAGGGCACAGCAAGUGCAGAAAAAGCAGAUAGGACCAUGGGUAGCUGAGAUCCACACAUGGUUCUCUGUGGCUGCGUCUGAGCCAAGGAGUUGAAUGAGACCUGCAUGGAGUGAUUUGGAGCUGUGGUUGCUAACAGGAACCAUGGGAAGUCUGUAGUCAUACUGGAUCCUCUCUGAAUUUGUCAAGGAUAUUCUGGAUGCUGUCUGCCAAGUUGUGUUGUAAGUUCUAAAAUUAAGGCCAAUAGAUAUGCUGCCUUGGCAUCUGGUGAAACAAGGAUGCCCUCAAAUGGCCGUGGUGCAAGUUUCCCUCCGCAUGCUUCUCACAGGUAAUGUCUCCUAACCUUACAACCCUUUUUAUCAAAGGGAGCAGGCACAGUUCCUGCUUAUCCCUUUGUAGUGAGUUUCAGUUCCCUACCAGCCUGCAGAGUCAUUUAAACAAGGCAAUCAUGUCGUCUUGCGGGAAGCAGGGCACCGUACCCUCUCGAUCCCAAAGAGACUGCAUCCCACAGCCCUUGGUUGGUCACUCCGCCAGCAUGUGGCCUUCCCAUGGCCUUGUGUGUUGUCUCCCACAUGUUAAUAUGUGGUUAAUAAAUGGCUGUUGAUUACAUCUGGCCAGUGUCAGGGGUCAUGUGUUUGGCCACACCUUUAGGGUGGGAAUUAUACCCUCACCAGUGGGGUUAUGAGGAGGUGACUGAAAUACGAGUAACAAGACGCCUACAGUAAGGGGUACUGAUGCUGGUGGCCGUGGGCAUGGGGCUGUGAGGGAUGUGCGUCAGACAGGGAGCACGUCUGAUGGUCUAGAGCACUGCACUGGAAACCACAUGACUGUGGCCACACCCGGGCAAUAGCCUGUGGAGGUGGUACAUCCUUCUGUGCUUGUCCUAGAGCUUAGCUGUUGAUUGCCCAUGUGCCUCCUGCUGCUGAUGGCUUUGCCCAGUGAUCAAUGGACCCCUGAGGAGACAGAGGCACCAAUGCAGGAUGGCGUGACCUUUGAAGAUGUGGCUGUGACCUUUUCCGGGGAGGAAUGGGGUCUCCUUGAUGAGUCUCGGAGAUGCCUGUACCAUGAUGUGAAGCUGGAGAACUUGGCACUUACAGCCUCCCUGGGCGGAUUCUUUACCACUGUGCCACCAGGGAAGUCCGUAAAAAUUUCCAGUUCUUAAGGAUGCACUCCAGAGAUGUUUCUUCUGGCUUAGAAGGGGAUCCUCCGAUGUUGAGCAACCUACAACCGAGCGUUCCUAGAAAUGGAGUCCGGCGUCCUGGAAACAUUUACCAGGAGGCUUUAACGUGGAGGGGUCAGAGCAUCCUCCGAAUUCCUUUAGAACCUAAUGGGGUUUUCAGUGUCUUCUGCUCUCCCAUCGCCCAACCAGAUGUCUGUGGGCAACCCAGUACCUUUCACGAGGGUCCCCAGGGGUUGGGGGUGGGGACGUUUGAACCAGUGCCAGUGCGUUGCCAGGACUCUCCCUGAGGGGGAUCUGUUGUUUAUAAAGCCUAUGUCCUAUAACAAGUUUCCCUACACUGGGGUGUAUUCCUCACGCUGGAGCAUCUACAGAGUUUAUAAUAUGGGCUUCUGGGCAGCGGCCAGCCCGAUAGGCUGUCCGUAGCAGUGUAUGGGCUGCCAAGGCCUGGAGUGAAGGCGGUCCGAUAGAUUCAAAGAGGAAUCCUUGGAGAAAGUGGAGCUGGGCAAGGGGUUCAAGACCCGAGGCCGGGAAACAGAGAAAUUCUUUAGAUUUUUGGAAGUUGGGUGAGGUGAGAGACUAGACAGCAGAAGAACCCCAAAUCCUUUCCCGUCUGUUUGGUGGCUAUGAAAAAACUGGGGAGAGCCUGAUGAUUCCAUCUGCCACAGGCAACAGCGAGCUUGGACAAUGUUUUCCAUGUAAUUUAACACACCAAGUGAACCCAACUAGUUUAGGAUCUCUCUUUGGGAUGCUCCAGGGGCCCUUUGAAGCACCCCAAAGUUAGCUGGAGUUCAAAGAAUCUGAUAUUUGGAAAGUCUGUUCAAAGUUUUCAAAAGUUUUAAAACACCUCGUCAGAGAAGAUCAUACCCAAAAGAUUAAAAGCAGGGCCUGGAACAGAAAUGGGUACACCCACAUUCCAAGCAGCGUGAAUCACAAUACCAAGAGGCAGAUGCCACCCAAGUGUCCAUCGAUGGAUGAAUGGAUAAACUACAUGUGAUAUCCACACAAAGGAAUGUCAUUCAGCCUUAACAACAAAGGAAAUUCUGACAACUCCUACAGCAUAUACAAACCUCAAAGGCAUGAUGAUCCGUGAAAUAGCCCUGUCACUUUAAAAGGACACACAUGAUGAGUUACCACAUACAGGAGGUAUCCAGAGAAGUACAAUUCAAAGGCAUAAAGUAGAAUGUGGGUGCCAGGGACUGAGGGGAAUUAGUGUCCAAUCAAAGUACAGCAUUUCACUGGUGAAAGUGGAAAAGAUCUGGACGUGGAUGGUGAGGAUAUUUGUACAACAACGUGCCUGUGGUUAAUGCCAUAGGACUGUGUACUGAAAAAUGGUUCAGAUGCUAACUGUGAUGCCCAUUUAGUCACAACAAACGAUGAAUGAAGUACUGAUCUGUGUUACCAUACGGAAAAGGCCACCCAGGUCAUACUCAUGUUGUGUGCUCUCGAUCCAUCAAGGUUGUGAAAAGGAGGGAAAGGAUCUGUUAAUGUUUCAGAAAAAGAAACCUGGAUCAGAAUGGAAAAAGACAUUUCCCUAGCGUUGGGGCACCUGGUGAAAGUGGACGUGGGCCUGUGGAUUGGAUUAUAAUGUGGAAACCAUAAAAAUGUCCUCACUUGGAGGUCACGUGCUGCUUCCCUGGAAGAGGAUUUCUGCUUUGCAUAAAACACAAUAUAGAAUUCAGUGUGAA